AGAACGAACGCUGGCGGCAUGCCUAACACAUGCAAGUCGAACGCUCUUGGUUUCGGCCAAGGGAGUGGCGCACGGGUGAGUAACGCGUGGGAACCUGCCCUGGAGUGGGGGAUAACCGAGGGAAACCUCGGCUAAUACCGCAUACGACCUGAGGGUGAAAGAUUUAUCGCUCUAGGAGGGGCCCGCGUCGGAUUAGCUAGUUGGUGAGGUAACGGCCCACCAAGGCUAUGAUCCGUAGCUGGUCUGAGAGGAUGAUCAGCCACACUGGGACUGAGACACGGCCCAGACUCCUAUGGGAGGCAGCAGUGGGGAAUAUUGGACAAUGGGCGCAAGCCUGAUCCAGCAAUGCCGCGUGAGUGAUGAAGGCCUUAGGGUUGUAAACCUCUUUUAGUAGGGAAGAAGCGAAAGUGACGGUACCUGCAGAAAAAGCACCGGCUAACUACGUGCCAGCAGCCGC
rnacentral:rRNA from 1 species